rnacentral:rRNA from 1 species
ACACGCAUGACACACUGCAUAUCAAUAAGCGGAGGAAAAGAAACUAACUAGGAUUCCCCUAGUAACGGCGAGUGAAGCGGGAAGAGCUCAAAUUUGAAAUCUUAAAGGUUUUCCCUUGACGAAUUGUAGUUUAAAGAAGUGUUUUCUGUUGGAGUUUCGGUAAAAGUUCUUUGGAAUAGGACAUCAUAGAGGGUGAGAAUCCCGUAUUUGACCAGUUACUUUCCAGCUGUGUGAUACACUUUCAAAGAGUCGGAUUGUUUGGGAAUGCAGUCCAAAAUGGGUGGUAAAUUUCAUCUAAAGCUAAAUAUUGGCGAGAGACCGAUAGCGAACAAGUACCGUGAGGGAAAGAUGAAAAGAACUUUGAAAAGAGAGUUAAACAGUACAUGAAAUUGUCAAAAGGGAAGCGUUUGACACCAGUGUUGUUUAGUUGAAAAUCAAUUCAAUAAUUAUUGGAUUUUAGUAGUAUUGACUUCAUCAGCUUGCUGCACUUUCUUUUCUAUAUUAUUUAAUGCACUUUUCAGUUAACAAGUCAACAUCAAUUUCUUUUGUUGUAAAAGAGUAAUAGGAAGGUGGCUUACUCUUCGCGUAAAGUGUUUAUAGCCUUUGACCUCUGCAAUCGGAGAGAUUGAGGUCUGCAGCGUAGAUCCUUCGGGGUUAGAUACACUUGUGCUAAGCUAUAGCCUUGUAUAGACAACUUGUUGACUAUGCUCAGUCUUGUAGCUUACUCGCUUAUGCUAUUUUACCUACGCUUAGGAUGUUGACUGAUAUGUAGUCGU